rnacentral:rRNA from 1 species
CUGCUGCCUUCCGUAGGAGUUUGGGCCGUGUCUCAGUCCCAAUGUGGCCGUUCACCCUCUCAGGCCGGCUACUGAUCGUCGCUUUGGUGGGCCGUUACCCCGCCAACUGGCUAAUCAGACGCGGAUCCAUCGUAUACCACCGGAGUUUUUCACACUGUUCCAUGCGGAACCGUGCGCUUAUGCGGUAUUAGCACCUAUUUCUAAGUGUUAUCCCCCUGUAUACGGCAGGUUAUCCACGCGUUACUCACCCGUCCGCCACUAA